GUGUAUUGGCAGCACAUAUACCAAAAUUGGAAUGAUAGAGAAGAUCAGCAUGGCCCUUGUGCA
rnacentral:snRNA from 1 species